AAACCAGCACCUCAAGUGGUCAGGAUGAUUAUUGGGCCUAAAGCAUCCGUAGCCUGUUCUAUAAGUUUCCGGUUAAAUCCAUUAGCUCAACUAAUGGGCCGCCGAAAAUACUGUAGAACUAGGGAGUGGGAGAGGUAGACGGUAUUCGGUAGGAAGGGGUAAAAUCCUUUGAUCUAUUGAGGACCACCUGUGGCGAAGGCGGUCUACCAGAACACGUUCGACGGUGAGGGAUGAAAGCUGGGGGAGCAAACCGGAUUAGAAACCCGAGUAGUCC
rnacentral:rRNA from 1 species